GAGAGGCAAGCGCCAGCUGUACUACAACGGUUUCAAGUACUCCUGCCGCAACAGAUAUGAGGGCAAGACGGACAUACGCUGCUCAUUUCAUCACGUCCCGUCGCGGCAAGCGUAUGCUAAGACUGAACAAUUACAAUUACUACCAAGUUCGUGCGCAGGGCUCGACCGUGCGCUGGGCAUGCUCCACCCACCACCGUAGCGGCUGCAAGGCCGCCAUCAAGACCGCCGAGGACAUUAUAAUCACACUAAAUGAGAAUCAUACACAUUCCAAGAAGGAAUGAAUACGUUUUACUCAAUCAAAGUGGUCUAUCGCAGUCUUUGGCUGGACAUAACCCUUCCCAAUAUGUUUUUACGAUCGAUCAAUGUAAACUUUGUGCUGUCACACUAUGUACGGUCGACUUUAAUAUAAAAUACUAGUAGUGUAAUUUUAUUACAUGUAUGUGUUUAAUAUUUGGUAAGUCUUCACGGCCAAACGACUAGGUCAAUUUCAACAAAAUUUGGUAAUUAACUAUUUUUUUUUUGCCACGAUAUAAAAAGCUUUUAAAAACUGCAGGAGUCUUAUGUGAGGCUGUGGUCCUAGGCCCUUUAAUUUAGAAACUAGUCAGGGUUUCCUAGAUAAUCUCUCGUGUAAAGUCAUAAAAAUGUUCUAAUAUACUAAUACUUAUUUAGUAUAUAAAUAUUGUAUAUACCUAUAGUUCUUUAGACUAUGUAGCUACAAUUAACCUA